rnacentral:rRNA from 1 species
CGUUAUCCGGAAUUAUUGGGCGUAAAGAGCUCGUAGGCGGUUUGUCGCGUCUGCCGUGAAAGUCCGGGGCUCAACUCCGGAUCUGCGGUGGGUACGGGCAGACUAGAGUGAUGUAGGGGAGACUGGAAUUCCUGGUGUAGCGGUGAAAUGCGCAGAUAUCAGGAGGAACACCGAUGGCGAAGGCAGGUCUCUGGGCAUUAACUGACGCUGAGGAGCGAAAGCAUGGGGAGCGAACAGG